GACGUAGGGCGCAAGCGUUGUCCGGAAUUAUUGGGCGUAAAGAGCUCGUAGGCGGUUUGUCGCGUCUGCUGUGAAAACCUCAGGCUCAACCUGGGGCUUGCAGUGGGUACGGGCAGACUAGAGUGCGGUAGGGGUGACUGGAAUUCCUGGUGUAGCGGUGGAAUGCGCAGAUAUCAGGAGGAACACCGAUGGCGAAGGCAGGUCACUGGGCCGCAACUGACGCUGAGGAGCGAAAGCAUGGGGAGCGAACAGG
rnacentral:rRNA from 1 species